rnacentral:lncRNA from 1 species
ACAGAACUUGCAAUUGGAGCCACCACGGGCUGUCACCACCACGAGAUUUGCUCCAAAAGGCAAGAAAAAUGAAACCCUAAACUAAAGAGGAAACAAAAAAUGACAGAGAGUGUAUGUUCGAAGGUCUAAGAGAGUCUUAUUUACAUGGUAGAAACCCCUAUAUAUAGGGUUGAAGAAAGAAGAAAAAAAUGAAAGAGGGAAAAGGGAAGAAGAAACUUGCAAGAGACGCUUUGAGGUUCUAAUCGGAGGGCCAACCUUCUUUUUCUUCCAACUCGCGUUUUUAGCCAUUCAAUCCUCUUUAUCGGGCAGCUGCGGUCAGUUUGAGUUCAUUUCCUCUGCAGACCAGCCUUCUCCCUUGAGCUAUUGAAGCUCCCUCUCUUCGUUCUUUCACUCUGCUUAAGCCCUAGCUUUGAGUUUUCUUUUUUCUUCCUCAUAUGCUCGAGAGAGUUCUUUAUUUCGUCAAAAUGAAUUUCAAAUCAGAGACCCCCUAGCAGUUGCAAUGCCAAAACACUGUCGUUCCACUAAUUUGAAUCAGCCCACCUACCCAAUUCCCAGUAUUUUGCAUCAGACCAGUUCCCUUCCAAAGACAACUUUAGCCAAGCUUUUUCACAAUGUGCAGUAUUACUAAUCCAUGGGCCCAAACCAGUGCGGCCAAAUUUCAUUACCAAUUCAGCACAAUUCCUUUUCAAUUGAUCCCACUAGUGACAACAACUUUGCAGCUCAUACCAAGUGGCCCAGUGCAGUUUCAUUUCAGCCUAAUCACUAAAGCCCAAUCUGAGUGUAGCAUCCCAUUUUAUUUCAUAUCUG